CGGGGAAUUUUGGACAAUGGGGGAAACCCUGAUCCAGCCAUCCCGCGUGUGCGAUGAAGGCCUUCGGGUUGUAAAGCACUUUUGGCAGGAAAGAAACGUCAUGGGUUAAUACCCCGUGAAACUGACGGUACCUGCAGAAUAAGCACCGGCUAACUACGUGCCAGCAGCCGCGGUAAUACGUAGGGUGCAAGCGUUAAUCGGAAUUACUGGGCGUAAAGCGUGCGCAGGCGGUUCGGAAAGAAAGAUGUGAAAUCCCAGAGCUCAACUUUGGAACUUCAUUUUUAACUACCGGGCUAGAGUGUGUCAGAGGGAGGUGGAAUUCCGCGUGUAGCAGUGAAAUGCGUAGAUAUGCGGAGGAACACCGAUGGCGAAGGCAGCCUCCUGGGAUAACACUGACGCUCAUGCACGAAAGCGUGGGGAGCAAACAGG
rnacentral:rRNA from 1 species